GAGCUGUUACCAUCUCUAGGCUAAAGCAAAGAGACAAGGAAGGAGUUAACAGAGCCUGGAAGGAGCCAGAAUUGUGCAGGGCCGGUCACAAUGAGAGGGAGCAGCCUACCAAGCUUGCAUCCCUCCUCUGGUCUGCUGGAGAUCCUACUACAUAGAAUCAGCUGGAAGGCAGCGGGCAGGAAGAUCAUGAUGUAAUGCAUACAGGGGUACUUUUAGGUGUGGGCAGCCCCUUGCUCCUGGAAAAUCCCAGCUGUCUUUGAGCAGAAAUGAUGACUGGGGAGUCGUAUGCGAAGAGCAGAAUGAGACACUUUAUCCUCUUUCAAACCAGGAGCUGCCUUGUUCCUAGGUCACCCAUCCCCAUGGCCAGAGUGGAUUUCUACAGAGGAGGUGCGUGGCCAAAGCUGGCCAGUUGAAUCUCUGCCUGGGAGUUCUCCAACUGGAGCUGAAGCAAGUCAGAUCCUCUGUCCUGGUGGGAGCUGAGGGACGUGAGGAUGAGAGGAGCAGAGAGUCGAGGAUGGGCGACUUGGCGUGCAGGCAUCUGGUUACAGUUGCUCCGGAAGCCCAGUGCUGUCUCUCUCUGUCUUCCAGUGGAUUAUCAUUCAAUCCUUCUUGGAUUCCAAGAUCCAAUACAGUCCCUUUGUCUACACCCGUUCACUGUGGGUUUCUGAGAUUUUCAAAUAAAAGAAUCACAUUUGAAAGCGUA